GACGAACGCUGGCGGCGUGCUUAACACAUGCCAGUCGAACGGAAAGGCCCUGCUCUUGUGGGGUGCUCGAGUGGCGAACGGGUGAGUAACACGUGAGUAACCUGCCCUUGACUUUGGGAUAACUUCAGGAAACUGGGGCGCAUACCGGAUAGGAGCUCCUGCUGCAUGGUGGGGGUUGGUAAGUUUCGGCGGUUGGGGAUGGACUCGCGGCUUAUCAGCUUGUUGGUGGGGUAGUGGCUUACCAAGGCUUUGACGGGUAGCCGGCCUGAGAGGGUGACCGGCCACAUUGGGACUGAGAGACGGACCAGACUGCUACGGGAGGCAGCAGUGGAGAGUAUUGCACAGUGGGGGGAAGCCUGAUACGACAGCGCCGCGUGCGGGAUGACGGCUUUCGGGUUGUGAACCGCUUUGGCCUGUGACGAAGCGUGAGUGACGGUAAUGGGUAAAAAAGCACCGGCUAACUACGUG
rnacentral:rRNA from 1 species